GGGGGAGAGGCAGGCGUGCCAAUGUCGACCAGGGUGGUUCGAAUCCACCCUCUCCCACCA
rnacentral:tRNA from 2 species